GGUGUGGAAGAUACGUCUCUUAAAAACAUAAGUUUAAUUACUAUUGGGCAGAGGAAAAGUUUCUCUCUCCCUCGACGAAGAACGACGAUUUCUCCUGGUGCUUCCACCGUUUCUCAACUUUCUUCUCAGAAGCCGCCGACGGAGUUGUGUCGCGACCUGCUCGGACCUCGUUUCAGGCUGUCUCUGACUGCCUUCGCCUGCUCCGCCGCUUCUUCCGUCGUUAAGCAAGACUCUCUUCACGAUCAGGUAAUCUGGCGGAAGCUUGGGGUUUGAUUAGAAAACAUUCGUUGAUCCAACUUUCAAUCAUCAGGAAAACGAUGGUGGAGAUGUUUCCUUUAAGAUCAGCAUAUGCUGCUUAUGGAAAGAUCAAAGCUAAGCUCUUUACUCUUGGUGAUCCUUUUACUCGGAUCAUUAGUCCAAGGGUAUCUGCAAGUAUUUUUGAUUCCUUCCAUGAAUGUGUUCUUUGAAGUUGGUUUUGUCUUUAAGAAAUAUCAUGUGACCUUGCAGGAGUAGGAAAGUUUCAGAAUUGGUAGUGAUUGAAAUCUACAAGGCCACAGGAGCUAGGCCAUAUUCUGGCAAAGUUGGUAUGGAAGAUGUCGAUAGAGUUGACAUGGCUUAUAGAGUGGUUGCGGAUCAUAUUAGGACGCUCUCAUUGGCUAUCGCUGAUGGCUCUCGUCCUGGUAUGUCUCAAAAUCCACUUAAUGACUGUGUGGUGAGUGUCUUUCAUGUAUGUAGCGAAUCACAAGGUUCCAAAACCAGCAGCUGUUGCAAAGCAUGAGGUGCAGAAGGAAGCUCUUUUUCUAGAGAAUUUAUCAUACCUCCUCCAAAACGAUGCUUUGUUUUUCUAGCAAUCUUUAUUUUUCUAGCAAUCUCGGUGAAAUUAAACCUUCCAUGGACCAUCAGCUAGUGGGAUGAUCGGGUUUUUUUCGGACUGGAUUAGUGGGUCAGGGAUGUAGACUUUGAUACCAUGACAAACUUCUUAAAUUUCCAAUUUAAAAUCAAUCGGUUGUAAAUAGAAUAACUCAAAUCCUUUAUAUAUUACUUAAGUUUUUUUUAUAUU